rnacentral:rRNA from 1 species
UCCUACGGGGGGCAGCAGUAGGGAAUUUUCGUCAAUGGGCGCAAGCCUGAACGAGCAAUGCCGCGUGAACGAGGAAGGUCUUCGGAUCGUAAAGUUCUGUUGAAGGGGAAAAAGAGCGGAGAGAGGAAAUGGUCUCCGAUUGAUAUUACCCUUCGAGGAAGUCACGGCUAACUACGUGCCAGCAGCCGCGGUAAUACGUAGGUGGCGAGCGUUAUCCGGAAUGAUUGGGCGUGAAGGGUGCGUAGGCGGCCUGCUAAGUCUGGAGUGAAAGGUACCGGCUCAACCGGUACAGGCUCUGGAAACUG